GGCGUGUGAGACUGGAUCGAUCCUCGGAACGGAGGACGAGGAGGAAGUGGGAAGGACGCAGGCGGACUGGAGGACGGAGAGGCAAAACAAGGCCAGAAGAAGGUGGAGAGUUAGGGACACACAAGCCAGGCCCAGGUCCACCUCUCUCCCCUGCUCCUCUCCUCUUCGUUCCCCCGGUGUGACAGAGCUACACUUUGAUCCACGCCACAGCAGGAAGGCCGAUUGUUUGUCUGUCAUCGUGUGGUCACUGCAGAGCAAACAGUCGAGAGGAGAACGGCAGGUCGCGGUGACUUGUGUCGGCGUGACCCACAGUUGGGUGGAAAGAAAGCACAAGAAAAAAACACCGCCAAACGCCCAUGUUACACAAUGCAGGUCAGCUAACAUGUACAGGAGGAGGUUGACGCUGCAUCAUGAUAUCAAUCUGUAUUAACUAGCCCUCUCAUUUUCUCAAAUCAUCACGUUUUGAGAUGAAAUACAUGGGUUUUAUAUUAAAUAUUGUACUAUCACGCCUCUUUUGUGGGUUCUAUAUUGGUUUAAAUGGCACAUUUUCAGCUAGAAAACAUAAAAGUUCAAAUUAAAAAGCAUAGGUAAAUGAAAUCCUGCUUUACUUUUACUCUUCGUUUCUUUCUAAAGGUUGUACUCAUCUUUUUUUCCCCCUCAAUGUUGUGACAGGAAACAGGUUGAACCAUGAUUAACGCGGUAAACUCCUCAAUGGCUGUUCCGCUUUUUAAAGAGGAAAACGCAACACUGAAGUUAGCAUCCAAUGUGACAACUGCAUCUCAAUGAAAAAAUGAGAUUUAUCCCAUUAUCGAGUUAGAAGAUACAAAUCAUACGCCAUAUUCAAUUUGUAAGGACAACUGAUCAUGACUGCCAACUGCUUGAGCACUGCAUAAAAACAAUUAAAGGGGCAGUGUAGUGGAAAAUCUAAUUCUUUUUUUUGUUUUACAUCAUGUUAUAAUGAUAUUUUAUCAUCAAAAAUAUACUUGGAGUGUUGCCUUGAUUCUUUCAGGCAAGUUUGAGAAACCCUUUAAUCUCGCAUGGCAACCAUUCAGCUGU